rnacentral:tRNA from 1 species
GCAUUGGUGGUUCGGUGGUGGAAUUCUCAACUUUUAUUCGGGAGACCCGGGUUCAAUUACCAGCCAAUGCA